CCUACGGGAGGCUGCAGUGGGGAAUAUUGGGCAAUGGGCGCAAGCCUGACCCAGCAACGCCGCGUGAAGGAAGAAGGCUUUCGGGUUGUAAACUUCUUUUGACAGGGAAGAGUAGAAGACGGUACCUGUCGAAUAAGCCACGGCUAACUACGUGCCAGCAGCCGCGGUAAUACGUAGGUGGCAAGCGUGGUCCGGAUGUACUGGGGGGAAAGGGCGGGUAGCCGGGUUGAUAAGUCAGAUGUGAAAUCCUGGGGCUUAACCGAAGAACUGCAUUUGAAACUGUUGAUCUUUAGUACUGGAGAGGCAGACAGAAUUCCUGGUGGAGCGGUGAAAUGCGUAGAGAUUAGGCGGAACACCGGUGGCGAAGGCGGUCGGCUGGACGGAGACUGACGGUGAGGUGCGAAAGCGUGGGGAGCAAACAGGAUUAGAUACCCUAGUAGUC
rnacentral:rRNA from 1 species